GCAUGAAAAGUCAAUGCUGCCAUAACCUGGCAGCUGCUCACUGCGGCCCAUUGCAAGGACUGUUUGUUUACAGGGGAUGUAAGGACCGAGAGGGCUGGCUACAUUAGCAGGCUGCAGGAGUGAGGACUGAACGGGGGCUGCGCCGGUCCCGGCCGUCAGAGGGAGCAGUGACCUCGGCUCAGGGAGCCGUUUAUACUUCGCCCGGCUCUCUGUGUGCUCCGCCCGAUUUUACUUGGGACCUCUGCACAUUUCCAGACUAUUCUGUGUCCCUGUUGGAACCCCGAAAGGCACGUACAAGCUUUGAAGAAGCAGAGUAGAAGAUGGGGAAUUGUUGUCUUAAAAUCAUUCCCCAUUUUAAAAUGUGGAGUGAUUUCCAUUUCUGAAUUUGAGCCUGCUGGACGCUGGAAGCCAAAGAAGACAGCAUACCUUCAGUCUGUGGUUCCUUCCUGCUUUAAGACCACUAUCAUCCCAGAUGGGGAAUCUCAGAUGGUGACGAGGAGGCAUACAGAAGCAAGAUGGAUCAGCUGGUUGAGGGGAGUCGCAACAAUAACAAUGCACUCAAUAUCAGUGAGACCAAGAAAUUGAUUGUGGACUUCAGGAGGGGAAGUCAAGAAAACAUACACCAAUCCUCAUCAUGGGAUCAGCAGUGGAAAGGAUGAGCAGUUCCACGUUCCUGGAUGUCAGCGUCUCUGAAGGUCUAUCCUGAGCACAACAUAUCAAUGCAAUAUGAAGAGGGCAGGACAGCGGCUACACUUCAUUUUGAAGAGAUUUGGUAUAUCACCAAAAACCCUGGAAAAUUUGUAUCAUGGAGAGCGUUCUAAUUGGCUGCAUCACUAUCUGGUAUGGAGGGGCCAUUGCACAGGAUCAGAAAAAGCUGCAGAGGGGUGCUAAUUCAACCAGCUUCAUCACUGUUACUAACCUCCCAGCAUUCAGGAUAUCUUCAAAAGGUGAUGCCUAAAAAGAGGUGGCAUCCAUCAUUAAGCAUCAUCAUCAUUCAGGGUAUGCUCUCUUCUUAUUAAUACUAUCAAAGAGAAGAUACAGGAAGACAGACACACAAUGUUUUAAGGACAACUUCUUCUCCUCCACCAUCAGAUUUCGGAAUGGACAAUGAACCAACCCAUGAAAGCUGCCUCACUACUUUUGCACUGCUAAUUUAAUUUUUUAAUAUAUAUUUCUUAUUGUAAUUUAUGUAUUGCACUGUACUGCUGUUGGAAAAUAACAAAUUGAUAUUAAGCUGGAUUCUGAUUCUGAAGGGAGUGCAUUGCACAUGCUAUUGCCUACAUCAAUCGUAUUGAGGUUGAGAGCUUCAAGUUCGUAGGAGUGAACAUCACUAAUCACCUGUCCUGGUCCGACUACAUAGACACCACAACCAACAAAGCUUACCAGCACCUCUACUUUCUCUGGAAUGCAAAGAAAUUUGGCAAGUGCCCAUUGACCGUUUUUAAUUGACACACUAUUGAAAGCAUUCUAUGUGAAUGUGUAACAGUGUGGUAUGGAAUCUGCCCUGUACAUGACAACAGGAAAGUGCAGAGAGUUGUGGACACAUUCACUCAGCACAUCACAGAAACCAGCCUCCUCUCUAUGGACUCUGUCUAUAUUUCUCACUGCCCCAGUAAAGCAGCCAGCAUAAUCAAAGACCAGUCUGCCCCAAAUAGUCUCUCUUCUCCACUCUCCAAUCAGGCAGAAGAUAUAAAAGCCUGAAAUAUUAUCAGGCUCAAGGGCAGCUUGUAACCUACUGUUAUAAGGCUACUAAAUGGUUUCCUAGUACAACGUGCACCCCUUGACAGACAGACAUACUUUAUUGAUCCCGAGGGAAAUUGGGUUUCGUUACAGUCGCACCAACCAAGAAUCGUGUAGAAAUAUAGCAAUAUAAAACCACAAAUAAUUAAAUAAUAAUAAGUAAAUUAUGCCAGUGGAAAUUAGUCCAGGACCAGCCUAUUGGCUCAGGGUUUCUGACACUCCGAGGGAGGAGUUGUAAAGUUUGAUGGCCACAGGCAGGAAUGAUUUCCUAUGACACUCAGGAUUGCAUCUCGGUGGAAUGAGUCUCUGGCUGAAUGUACUCCUGUGCCUAACCAGUACAUUAUGGAGUGGAUGGGAGACAUUGUCCAAGAUGGCAUGCAACUUGGACUUGGUAGAUUGACCUCACAAUCUACCUCAUUAUGAUCUUGAACUUUAUUGUUUACUUAAACCUAAAUUUGUAGCUGGUACAUUUUGUUCUGCAUUGUCACUUUUUUAACCUAGUUCUACCUCUGUGCACUGUCAUGGUUCAGUCUAUAUGAACAGUAUGCAGGAAAAGCUUUUCACCAAUACACAGUAUGUAUGAUGAUAAUAAACCAAUAACAAUACCUUGUCAGGAAAUAAAGAGGAAGCUUGACCCAAAAGCAGAGCAGCAGAGGAGGUUUAGCAGUAAACUAUGUUUUACUAAUAAACUGCAAAAUAACAAACCAUGAGGGGCCAAAAACACAGAUACUUAAAACAACAAGACAACAAGCUAAUUGAAGGCUAGCAGAAACUGAUUAAGGCUGGCCUGCUCAAUGGGUGAACAAAGGGUUAUGGAUGAGAGCUGGGUUUAAAUAGGCUGGAGGUGAUGAGGUGGAAACAAUUACCAGGUUACUCAUGUAGCUGGUUGGAGAUUUGGAAGUGACUGCCUGUGCAGGCCUGGGAGCACACCCAACAGCCCAGGACGAUCCAGAUCGGUCUGAUGGAAUUCCUCAAGAGCACUGGAUUGAAGAUGAAGCUGAACAGCAUCCAAGAUCUCUCCUCCAAGCCAUAGAUUUACCAGGUACUACACACCUUCUUCCACUAUCCUUGGCUCUGGAGGUGCAGGCUCAUAUGGUUGAGGCAGGACAUGUGGAAGUUAGGUGAGCACUUCAGGGAUGGUGGCAGGUGGAGAUGGUAAGUGACUGAACUGAUGCAAUGGGUCAUCUUAAAGGAACUAAUGAACUGGGGUGAGAGCUUGCAGGAGCCGCCAAACAGGGGGAGAUCUCAGUUAGACAGUCAAACACCAUCAACAGGCCAGAGUAGUCUGGUUAGGCGCAGAUGGUGGUUAGUCUGGUGGCAGUAGGCAUAGUUUGAAGCUGGGAUGGCCCUCUUCCAAGUAUUCGGACAUUAGUCAAGCAGGGCCAUUGCGGAUGGGACCUCCAACAUUGUCUCCUCCAUGAGGAACAAUGGAGGUUUUUAGCCAUGAAGCACUUCAAAGGGUGACAUACGUAUGGCAGGUGUGUAUACUGUGAGGCUGUUCAGUCCAGAACAGAUACUACUUCCGUGUAGGAGGAUAGAGGCAGUGAAGCAGCGCAGAAACUUUUCCACUUGCUGACUGGUUCUUUCUGAUUGACCAUUGGUCUGUGGAUGAUAACCAGAGGACAAACUGAAUGAGGUGUGGAGGAGGGAGAAAAAUUGUGGACUCUGGUCCUUCACAAUGUGAUGAACUGACAUACAGCUGCAGAGGGUCAUAGACUCAGCUAGCUGCAUCACAAGUACAACUCCCCCCCCCCAAUACCGAGGACACCGUCAAAAGCCAGUGCCUCAAGAAGGUGGCAUUUAUCAUGAAGGAUGCUCACCAACCAGCACAUAUGCCUUCCUAUCAUUCCUACCACCAGGGGUAAUGUACAGGAGCCUGGAGACUAGCACUCAGUGAUUCAAGGACAGCUUCUUCCCCUUUGUCAUCAGGUUUCUGAAUGUGUUUGUUUUUAUUUGCACUGUAUUUAUUUCUGCAAUUCAUAGUCUUUCAUGUCUUUGCACUGUAUUGCAGCUGCAAAACAACAAACUUCAUCUCAUCUGUCAGUAAGAAUAAAUUUGAAUCUGAUUUCUGAUUUUGAAAUAUAAACUUUGCCCAUACAUACAAAUAAUAUGACAAUAUUGUGCAGAUACGUGCUGUGUGUAAAAAUGGUGAGUGUACAUUGAAAAUAACAUGAAUGAUGGAAUACAGAAGACUCUCCAGAAAUGGGAAGCUAUUUCUCACGUGUGACUUCAGUACCAGGUCAAGGACAUGAGAUUCAGAUGUCCAAAUGGUCAAAGUGCUGGAAAGGUCAAUGGAACAUGUGGUCAUAUGUUGGAAAGGAUGAGACUAUGGGUCAAGGAUUCAGGGAAUUUGCUGGACAAAGGUGGAUCGAAUGUUAGACAGUGGAGGAGCUUGACAGAGGUCAAGCACCAGGGUCAGGUGUUGGAAGGUUCAAGAGGUCGCAAGUGAGGUUUCAGCCCGGACCUGAUUUCCUUGUGCUGUUAGCUUCAGAAGUGCAGUGAUUUCAAUCCCUCGGGUCCUGGCUGAAGUAAAAUACAGUUUAUGAUCCUAAGAGUAAAGGUGUAAGCAGGGACAGCUGACAAUGGAAUUGAGGAUCAUUUAGGGAGAAGUUUUCCCAGAAGUCAGCGAGGUGGGACCUGAGGGCUGAAUUGGUUAUAUAGACUGAAGGAAGUGAGUAGGCUUUGUCUGAGGAGGGACUGCAGCAGCUGGCACUGCUCUCUGUAAACAGCAAAACAUGAAACAUGUUUAUCCGGAGUGUUCAAUGUGAAGAGGGCUUGUGCUGGAGGAAAUAGCCAUCUGUUACACUGCAGGGAGCUUGCUGACCAGAAGGGAGAGAUUUCAAAUAAUUAGGUGAAAAGACCUUUUUUCUGUUUCAUAGCAAUUUUUGUCAUGACCUGAUAAUGUGAAUGAAGCAGAUUUAAUAGCAGAAUUGAAUAAAUAUUUGGAAGCAAAGUUCUACACCAGUGGGCAAAGUGCAGAAGUGAGGGAAUACCUCCACAGUGGAAAUCUCUUCACGUCAGGGUCCUUUUCCUUGGCAUUGAGGACCUGGUUUGGAAGGUGUUGCACACAGCAGGACCAUGUAAUAGGUUUUUAACUGGAAGGUUCCCUCCUUGCAUUUGCCCAUUCUGUGACUGGGAAGAGUCAGUGUACCAAGCAUGUAUGGGGUGUAGGGGGCUGCAGUUCCUAUUUGAAGAUCUGAAGGGGCUGUUCCUCAGGUCUUGGUUACACUUCAGCCCCGUGACCCUUAUAUAUGGGCACCCAGUACAGAAAGGGGCAGGUCGCUCAGAGGAUUUAUUGGUGGGCUUGCUCCUGGGCCUGGACAAGAUGGCUAUUCACAGGUCCAGGCAGCAGAUGGUGAGGGCUCUGCCAGGGCUGACUGCCUGCCCCUCUUCCACAGAUAAGUUUGUGCCUGGGUGUCCUUGGAAGUGGGCCAUGUGGUCAUGAUGGGUACAGUGAGGGAUUUCCAAGAACAGUGGGACCCCAGGGAAUUGACUUUAUAGAUAGUAAUGAUCAUAUUUUAAUUUGAAUUUGGUCACUAGCUUGUAAAUGCUUGAUGUUUGCAUUUUGUGUAUUUUUGUGUAAAUCGACUUUUGUAGUUUUGGCCACCCAGUUCAUUCUAGUAAAGUCGUAGAGUGCACAGUACAAAAACAGGCUCUUCGUCUUACUUAGUCUAAGUUCAAAGGUCAAAAAUCCAAAGAUCAAAGUACAUUUAUUAUUAACUAUGUAUGCCAAGCUUGAGGUUCAUCCCCUUGCAGGCAGCUACAAAACAAGUUUGUGCAAUGGAAUGCAUUAAAAAAAAAACCCCACACAACAAAGACUGUCAAACAUCCAAAGUGUCAAAAAGGAACGAAUAGUACAAACAAGUUUUUAAAAAGUAAACAAAUAGUACAUAGAACUAAGUCCCCGGAAGUGAGUCCACAGUCCUGGAGGUGCAGCUGAUCCACAAGUGUAGUGGUAGUUCAGUGCUAAGGUGAGUAUAGCCAGUCUAAUGCCUGAUAGUUGCAAGGCAAAAACUGCUCUCAAACCUGGAGGUCUGGACAAAGUCUCCUGCCUGGUGGUAGCAUCGAGGAGAGCAUCUGUGAGCCCACGCCAAUGUGGUCUUCUCCUAGUCCCAUCUACCUGAACCUGCACCAUAGCAAUCCAGACCCCUCCCAUCUAUGUAACUAUCCAAACAUGUCAACUGUUUGGAUAGUUACAAAGUUACAACUGAAUCUUCAUCUACCACUUCCACUGGCAGCUCAAUCCAUACUCUCUGAGGAAUGAUGUUGCUGAAGUUAUCCCAGCACUUUAGCAGAAAGCAAACAAAACACAAAUUCUACAAACCCUGUUCCACACAAUGAUAAUAUGCUGCAUAAUUUCUCACAAGUUAAGUCAUCAGCAUGUUUUAUCUUUAUUUAUAUUAAGUCAAGUUUAUUGUUGUGCAGAACAAUGGCAGGAGGGGGAAAUACACGUACAAUGAAAAGCUCGCUAGCGGUAGCAUCACAUUCGGUGUGUGUUCAUGUUCUGGAAAUAGCAUUCAACCUUAGUGGACUCUACGAUGGAUAAUAAUGGGUUUAUACAUGGUAUAGAUCCCAUCACACUGUCCAGCCUGGUUAUUAUUAUUCAUCUCUGAUAAUUCUCGUUGCCCAUUUGGCUACCAUGCUGCCUAACAAAUAGGAAAAUACACAUAUAUGUAUUCAUGGGAUCAUCCUCGGAACCUUCAUUCCAGCUUUAGCUAAAUAUUAUUCGGACUCUUUAAAGUUAGCAUUUGUCUAACAAUUUUACCCCUGCGUUUGCUGUGCAUGGGGAAUCUGCAAACUUUGCACUCGGGUUUACCCAUUGGCAGCUUCCUUGUUACCUUGGGCAAUUCCAGAAUUUUGUGGGAAGAGUGCACAGGCACUCCUGCAGGAGCUGUGAGCCUCUUUGGAUUGAAUUGAAUUGAAUUGAAUUGAUUUUAUUACUUACAUCCUUCAUAUACAUGAGAAGUA